UACAGAGGUCUCGAGCGUUAGGCGGAAUCACUGGGCUUAAAGCGUGUGUAGGUGGAUGGGUAAGUACCUUGUGAAAUCCCACAGCUUAACUGUGGAACUGCUGGGUAUACUGCCCGUCUUGAGUCACUCAGGGGCGAGCGGAACAGAUGGUGGAGCGGUGAAAUGCGUAGAUAUCAUCUGGAACGCCAAUGGUGAAGACAGCUCGCUGGGGGUGUACUGACACUGAGACACGAAAGCCAGGGGAGCAAACGGG
rnacentral:rRNA from 1 species